rnacentral:rRNA from 1 species
CCUACGGGUGGCAGCAGUGGGGGAUAUUGCACAAUGGGGGAAACCCUGAUGCAGCGACGCCGCGUGUGGGAAGACGGCCCUCUGGAUUGUAAACCACUGUCCCCAGGGACGAAGAUGCCGGUAGCUGGGGAGGAAGCUCCUGCUAACUACGUGCCAGCAGCCGCGGUAAUACGUAGGGAGCGAGCGUUGUCCGGAUUUACUGGGUGUAAAGGGAGCGUAGGCGGGACUGCAAGUUGGGUGUAAAAUCUACCGGCUCAACCCGGAGGCGCAGUCAAAACUGCAGUUCUUGAGUGAAGUAGAGGCAGGCGGAAUUCCUGGUGUAGCGGUGAAAUGCGUAGAUAUUGGGAGGAACUCCAGUGGCGAAGGCAGCCUGCUGGGCUUUUACUGACGCUGAGGCUCGAAAGUGUGGGGAGCGAACAGGAUUAGAUACCCUGGUAGUC